rnacentral:rRNA from 1 species
UUACGCUGUUAUCCCUAAGGUAACUUAGUCUAAUAAUCAAUAAUAAUGGAUCUAAUAUUCAUAUAUCAAUGUUAUAUAAAUAAAAAAGUUAAAUAUAUAUUUUUGUCACCCCAACAAAACACGAAAUAAACCUAAAAAUAAGGAUAUAUAAAUAUUUAAGUAAUUUCGUGUAAAGAUCUAUAGGGUCUUCUCGUCUUCCAAUAGAAUUUUAGCUUUUUAACUAAAAAAUUAAAUUUUAAAACAAAUAAAAUGAGACAGUCAGUUCCUCGUUAAACCUUUCAUUCCAGCCCUCUAUUAAAAGACUAAUGAUUAUGCUACCUUUGCACGGUCAAUAUACCGCGGCCGUUGAAGAUUCCUCACUGGGCAGGUCAGACCUUCAAUUUAACUCUAAAGGACAUGUUUUUGUUAAACAGGCG